rnacentral:tRNA from 2 species
UCCGGGGUAGCUCAAUCGGCAGAGCAUUCGGCUGUUAACCGAAGGGUUGUGGGUUCGAGUCCCACCCCCGGAG